rnacentral:rRNA from 1 species
AGAACGAACGCUUGCGGCGCGCCUAAUACAUGCAAGUCGAACGAGAAAGGAUCUUCGGAUCCGAGUACAGUGGCGGACGGGUGAGGAACACGUAGAUAAUCUGCCUUAAAGAGGGGAAUAACUACUCGAAAGAGUAGCUAAUACCGCAUAAGACCACAGGAACUUCGGUUCUAGGGGUUAAAGGAGCAAUUCGCUUUAAGAUGAGUCUGCGUCCGAUUAGCUAGUUGGUGAGGUAAUGGCUCACCAAGGCGACGAUCGGUACCU